UAUUCCUUGGGGCAUGCCUGUUCGAGCGCCGUUUGCAUCCUAAAGCAUUGCUUUGUGUUGAGAAUUCCGAAUCGGAAUCUCCAAAAUCAGAUGCCAACGACGGCUUGCGUGAAGCAGUGAAAGUGCUGAGCGUGCGUCCGGCGGCGGCAGAUCAACGACCGCAUGGCCUCGGAUCAGGUAGGGCUACCCGCUGAACUUAA
rnacentral:misc_RNA from 1 species